GUGUUUGCUUCAGCAGCACAUACGCUAAAAUUGGAACAAUACAGAGAAGAUUAGCAUUAACAUCCCUGUGCAAGGAUGACAUGCAAAUUUGUGAAGUGUUCCAUAUUUUU